GGUUCCUCCUUGUGGAGCAUUUGGGGAGCCUUGAUCCUUGGGGUAGUGUACACGGGAAUCUAACGUGGAGGGGUGCGUUCUGGGACACCACAACCUCCCGUUCUCAGGUCUAUCUGCAGGUUGCCCUUAGGAUUCGUCUCCACGAUGACAGUGCCACGCAGCAUCCCUUGCACCUCCCGAGCCAUCAGCCAGAUCUCUUUGCUUUGAACAGGUAAAACUGAGGCUAUUAGAGAGGAGGCCUUGAGCUGAAUGCACAGAGCGGGAAGCAGCACGCUUGGUAUGCAGCAUGGGCACAGAGCUCUCCUGUGCAGGAAAAUCAACGCUGAAAGGGAAUGAAGCACUUGGAAUAAGUGUCAUUUCCAUCACGUGGGAAGGGGCAGUGCCUCUGUUGUGUCCCUGGAUGAACCCAGCACUGCUCAGUGCCAGCUCCACCAGCUGCUGCCCUGCUAUGCAAUGGGGAUGGCCAAACAAGGACAACCACACAUGGGCAUCCUGGGCCGGCUGAUGGGAGCAUCCCUCAUUGGUAGGGCAGCAAGGGAACCUGAGCAGGAUUUGGCCCCAGGGACUGCCCAUAGCCACGUCUGCUUGGCAGAGGAGUCACAGAGUCCCAUGGCUGGUCCCCAUUACUUCGUUCUGUUGGCGUGGAGCAGGGAUAGGCAGAGGGGGUGGGAAAAGGGUGCUGGAAGACGCAGAGCUUGGAGUGUGUGUAAGGCAUGUACAGCAGCCCAUGGCUGGGAAUGUAAAUGGAGGCGUGUAGGAAGAAGCAGGUGAUGGUGAAAUGCUUGAGCACAGUGCUGGGGCAAUAAAUAGAGCAGGGCUGUGCAAAUGGAGUGGCUGGGAAGGUUCCAUAUUGCAGUGUUAUCUCCUUCCCCAUUUAAGAGCCCCAUAUGAGGUUUAAGCAGCGUGCCAUGCUGGCUGAUGGGAGGGAAUGGGCUUUGAAUGGAUACAAACCACCACAGUGCUGCUGGAAAGUGGAGGAAGCCGUAUCCUCAUCCCACCAACACCUCCCUGAGAAAAGGGGGCAAAACCUCAUUACAGAACCUGAUGAGAAGUUCAAAUGAAGCUCAUCUACCCACGGCAAAAAGGGAAAAAAAUCAAACCAGCAUUCUGAUUUCCUCCCUCCCAUACAGCCACAUGCAUAUAUACACUUAGCGUACUUCAAACAAUUUUGCUGCUGUUUCCACUGAUCUUGUCCCUCGCUGCUGAGCACUUCUUCAAAUGGAAAGGCACCAUGACUCCUCCUCCUCGGAGUGCCAGGCUCCAGUUUUCCUAUCAACCAUUUCAAACCACUUAUCCACUCAGCAGCUUUUCGGAUGGAGAACUCCCUGGAGCCGCACACUCAUCUCCAAGCACCUGUAAUUUUAAAUUAAAGAAGGGGAAAGGUUCAUCCUCCUCUGAGACUGCAUCUCCAACCUGCAGCACCAGGGCUGCAUGCCCAGCCCAGUGCUCUGCACGCUGGGUCCCAUGGAUGCAGUGAACAGAAUUGGUGCGAGAGCAAAUCAGGGGAUGAGCACCGGGUGAUCUCAUUGCACCAGCAAGCAUGGCUUGGAUGGAUUGUGCACUGCUCUGAUUUCUUCCAAUGUCAUUGCAUUGGGGCAUCAUACUUCAGGUGAAAAUGCACAGCUCAGGAAGCACUGUCUCUGCCCAGGAAUAAAUAGGAGAUGUUUUUUCCUUAUGAGCAGGUCUGCAGAGCUCCAGGCCCUGUCUGCCUGUUAGGUGCUGGUCAGAUGGCUGCAGGAUGCAUCAGGGCUGGGGGGUCGGGAAUGUGCCCCCAGCACAUGUGAGCACUGAGGAGCAGCAGGGGAGCAUUGCAAGGCCCUGCAGAGAGCACCCAGCCCGGUGGCACAGCAAUUAGGUGGCAGCUGUGCUGAAUAACGGCUCUGUUACUGAUCUAUUAUUGAAGGUGAUGGAAUAAUAACACACUGUGGGAAAAGCAGUACCGCGACACAGAAGGGUGCGAAGCGGCUCGGAAUUAUCUGGUAUAAAUACUCCAGAAGCCUCAACAGGUGAAGUCUGAAUGAGCAGGGACAGCCUAUGGGAGGUGUUUCACAGCAGAACCCUGCAGAAAGCAAGAGCUGUUCUCUGUGCUGAGCAUCAGCCGUGGAAAACUGGUGUGGGUGGCCCCGGGGCGCAAAGCGAUGAUGCAGAUAAAUGCCCAGACACAUUGCUGAGAGGAAGGAAUGAAAGGAUGCCUUGUGCUCUCUGGUGGAGAUUCUGUGAGCUCAUGGCUCGUCUGGCAGAGAGAUCAGGGCUGGAGGAUCUCUGCUGAGAGGGGGAAAGCUGUUCCCU